GCAGGAUUCAAAGUAUAACAUCGCUGUAAGGAGACAUUAUCGGGUAACAUUAAAGUUGUUUGGAGACGAAGAUGCCUUUGAGUAGAGAGAUGUUUAGGUUGAACUUGAUUCAAUAUUGCAGAAAGAUCAUGGGGGGCGAGAAUGGUUAGCUUGUGACCAAGGAUUAUGUCACACGUCUUGUCCAGUAGAGCACUUGCCGCAAAUACAGCCCGAAGACAGGAGGGUCCUCCCCGGCCACAGGAUCCAACUGACAGGAGUAAUACCCUAUUGGACGUUGACGAGACCCAUAAGACUGAGUGAGAACACCAGAUGCAUGUCCCAUUUUUUCGUAGACAAAGAGCUUGAAGGGCUUCUCGUAAUUGGGAAGGCCC